rnacentral:rRNA from 1 species
UGGGGAAUAUUGGACAAUGGGGGCAACCCUGAUCCAGCAAUGCCGCGUGUGUGAAGAAGGUCUUCGGAUUGUAAAGCACUUUCGACGGGGACGAUGAUGACGGUACCCGUAGAAGAAGCCCCGGCUAACUUCGUGCCAGCAGCCGCGGUAAUACGAAGGGGGCUAGCGUUGCUCGGAAUGACUGGGCGUAAAGGGCGUGUAGGCGGUUUACACAGUCAGAUGUGAAAUCCCCGGGCUUAACCUGGGAGCUGCAUUUGAUACGUGUAGACUAGAGUGUGAGAGAGGGUUGUGGAAUUCCCAGUGUAGAGGUGAAAUUCGUAGAUAUUGGGAAGAACACCGGUGGCGAAGGCG